rnacentral:misc_RNA from 1 species
ACUUCUGCCAUACAUCAUUUUGGCGCCCUGAUUCCUCACUCUUCUCAGCAUCGGUUUCCAGCCGACUUUUUGCAGGUUGAGUUCUGGAGUGAGUUCGUGAUCGAGUGCUGCUAGUAUCACUCAGAGAAGCAAGUUCUUCAAGUAACUCACGCUCUUUGGUACUGUAAAUGUGAGCAAAAACCAUGGAGACAAGCUUGAGAAAUUAUGUGAACUAUUUAUAGUAUCAGAGUAUAUCACAGUUAAUUAUCAAAUAAGUUUGGUACUCUGAACUAAUCUAUUAUGAAAGGGCCAAAAAUUAAGUAAACAUCUAUCAUGAUCCAGUUUGAGCUUUGUGAUAUUUAAAACAAAAACAAAAUUGUAUCACUGCAAAUUAGAAGAACAAAGAAGAAGGAAAAAAGUUAAGCUGUAUUACACGGAGGAUAGACCAGGAAUCUAGAAGAAU